UGUCAGAGUGUGGGGGGGGGCAAGGCCUGAGAAGCUGCGUUCCCACCCUGUCCCCCGAGCGCGGCUGCUCGUCCAGGGACCCUGCUUUGAGGACCGCCCUUGUCACGGAGCCCUGCAGGCCCAGCUGGACGUGGGAGCCGCCAGGGAGGCUCACAACACCCCUGGGACUCUGACUGCAGGGCUCUGGGGGGGUCACGUAGCUAUCGGCAAUGCCUCCCACGCGUGUCGCCCGGGCCGCAGGUCUCUCUCCGUGUGUUGGGUUUCUGGGGCUGGAGCGCUACCACUGACCACUGGAGUUUUCUGGACUGUAGGCUCUGACCUGCCGAGGGUCCCGCUGUCCCACGCCUGCCACCUGGGACUUGCCCCGGGUCUGCGCCCUCUGGGUCCGGCUCAUGCAGCGGGACUUCUGCUCCCUUUGUGGAUCCUGUGAGGUUCCAGGCAUUCAUUUAAAACACCAGAGGUUAAAACUGGGCUCGGCGUUCCUCCCCCAUCCUGAAGCUGCACUGUCCUGAAACCGUGGUUUCCUAAAUGCAUACUCUGUCCUUCUGGGACUCGGAAUCUCCUGGAUCUUUCUGCUCUUUGUCAGUUGGGUUCCGUCGGUGGAAAAUGAGCACUGGGGAAGUCAGAAGCAGCAAUGGCAA